CGCAGGCAGCUGGAGCUGGAGAACAACCUCAGCCAGGUGCAAGAUGUCACGAUGGAGAUUCAGGAUCUUCUACAGUGGCUGGAGAACACAGACCUAAGACUGUCCUCCUCCAAGACCAUGUGGGGGAUGCCUGACUCUGCCAGUGAGAGGCUCAGUGCACACCUGGAACUAUGUAAUGAGAUGGAGUCAAAGCUUCAUGCCUACACAGAUGUGAAGAACGCCAUUCACAG